rnacentral:rRNA from 1 species
CCUUUGGUCAUUUAGAGGAAGUAAAAGUCGUAACAAGGUUUCCGUAGGUGAACCUGCGGAAGGAUCAUUAAAGAAUGCCCCGUUUUUUGAAAUGGGUUCUAUUCCCAAACCGUGUCUACAUACCUUUGUUGCUUUGGCAGGCCGCCUUCGGGCGUCGGCUCGCGCUGACCGCGCCUGCCAGAGGACCCAAACUCUUUUGUUUAGUGAUGUCUGAGUACUAUAUAAUAGUUAAAACUUUCAACAACGGAUCUCUUGGUUCUGGCAUCGAUGAAGAACGCAGCGAAAUGCGAUAAGUAAUGUGAAUUGCAGAAUUCAGUGAAUCAUCGAAUCUUUGAACGCACAUUGCGCCCCUUGGUAUUCCGAGGGGCAUGCCUGUUCGAGCGUCAUUAUGACCACUCAAGCCUGGCUUGGUAUUGGAGCUCGCGGCCUCGCGGCUCUUAAAAUCAGUGGCGGUGCCAUCUGGCUCUAAGCGUAGUAAUUGAUCUCGCUAUUGGGUCCGGUGGUUGCUUGCCAACAACCCCCAACUUCUAAGGUUGACCUCGGAUCAGGUAGGGAUACCCGCUGAACUUAAGCAUAUCAAUAAGCGGAGGA